rnacentral:rRNA from 1 species
GACGAACGCUGGCGGCGUGCUUAACACAUGCAAGUCGAACGGAAAGGCCCUGCUUUUGUGGGGUGCUCGAGUGGCGAACGGGUGAGUAACACGUGAGUAACCUGCCCUUGACUUUGGGAUAACUUCAGGAAACUGGGGCUAAUACCGGAUAGGAGCUCCUGCUGCAUGGUGGGGGUUGGAAAGUUUCGGCGGUUGGGGAUGGACUCGCGGCUUAUCAGCUUGUUGGUGGGGUAGUGGCUUACCAAGGCUUUGACGGGUAGCCGGCCUGAGAGGGUGACCGGCCACAUUGGGACUGAGAUACGGCCCAGACUCCUACGGGAGGCAGCAGUGGGGAAUAUUGCACAAUGGGCGGAAGCCUGAUGCAGCAACGCCGCGUGCGGGAUGACGGCCUUCGGGUUGUAAACCGCUUUAGCCUGUGACGAAGCGGGAGUGACGGUAAUGGGUAAAGAAGCACCGGCUAACUACGUG